AGAGCGAACGCUGGCGGCAGGCUUAACACAUGCAAGUCGAGCGGGCGUAGCAAUACGUCAGCGGCAGACGGGUGAGUAACGCGUGGGAACAUACCUUUUGGUUCGGAACAACACAGGGAAACUUGUGCUAAUACCGAAUAAGCCCUUACGGGGAAAGAUUUAUCGCCGAAAGAUUGGCCCGCGUCUGAUUAGCUAGUUGGUGAGGUAACGGCUCACCAAGGCGACGAUCAGUAGCUGGUCUGAGAGGAUGAUCAGCCACAUUGGGACUGAGACACGGCCCAAACUCCUACGGGAGGCAGCAGUGGGAAUAUUGGACAAUGGGCGCAAGCCUGAUCCAGCCAUGCCGCGUGAGUGAUGAAGGCCCUAGGUUGUAAAGCUCUUUGUGCGGAAGAUAAUGACGGUACCGCAAGAAUAAGCCCCGGCUAACUUCGUGCCAGCAGCCGC
rnacentral:rRNA from 1 species